AGCAAAUCAAAGCAGAAUUAGAAGUAUCUGCAAAGGAAGCAACUCUUUCUGAAGCCAAGCAUAUCAAUGGUUUACGAGCUGUUUUUGGAGAAGUCUAUCCGGACCCAGUUAGAGUUGUGGCAAUUGGUCGAAAAGUUGAGGACCUCCUAGCCGAUCCAGAAAAUAAUGNUCCAGAAAAUAAUGAGUGGCUGUCAAUCUCAGCAGAACUCUGUGGAGGGACACAUAUUUCAAAUACAAGGGAAGCAAAGGCAUUUGCUCUGUUAUCAGAGGAGGGAAUUGCAAAAGGAAUUCGAAGAAUAACUGCUGUGACAACUGAUAGUGCUUUUAAGGCUAUGGAACUAGCAUCAUCACUUGAGCAGGAGGUUGAUGAGACAUCCAAGACAGAAGGAAGCUUGCUGGAAAAGAAAGUAGCCUCUUUAAAAAGUCGCGUGGACUCGGCACCUAUUCCAGCAGCCAAGAAAGCUGACAUUAGGUCUAGGAUUUCUGUACUUCAGAAUCAAGUAAGAAAAGCACAAAAGAAGAUUGCUGAAGAAAAUAUGCAGAAGGCUGUCAAGGUUGCAACAGAGAUGGCUGAAGUUGCUGCUUCAGAAGGGAAUGAAUUCUGCAUUUCUCGUGUUAAUGUUGGUUUAGAUGCAGCUGCAGUCCGUGAGGCAGCUAUGAAAGUCUUGGCGAAGGGGCUUUCAAUUAUGGUUUUCAGUUUGGAUGAAACUACAAACAAGGUUGUGGUGUGUGCGGGAGUGCCAGAAAAGUCGGACAUCAGCAAAAAGCUGGAGGUGUCUGAGUGGUUAACUGCUGCAUUGGAGCCGCUGAAUGGGAGGUGUGGUAAAGGAAAGGGGGGUCUUGCCACAGGCCAGGGAACAGAUGGAGUACAUGUUGAGAAGGCUAUGGAUUUGGCAGCCGCUUUUGCGCAGAUGAAGUUGACAUGAUAGAAGGAUUUACAGUGCUGGCUUUGAUGACGCAAUAUGGUCUUGGUGGUUAAUAGACUUGAUUCUUAUUAAAGUUUAUCUCAACACACAGAUCAUACAAUUGCAGCUGCAAGCAACUAGCUAAUUGAAGGCAACGAUCUGAGUUAAUAUAUGACGGCAUAUGUUUCUUCACUAAAUGCAUCAUAUAUUACAUCUGCCAUAUAACAAGUGGAGUUUGUUUUUCUAUUUUAUCAGAAGUAAUUUUACGAGAGCUGACUGAAGAGAUGAAUGAUAUUAUUGGAGUGGAAAAUUCUGGUAACCGUUAGGAAACAUAAACAUAGAAAAAAGGGGAAGUUUGAUUGUUUGAUGAACUGAAACUGCAAAAUAAAAUCUCAACUUCAUUGUUUGAUAAAUCAGUAGGGGAAUGAACAAACUGAGGGGC
rnacentral:misc_RNA from 1 species